CAGGCUCCGCCUCCUGUGGGUACACCAGUUUCCUGUGUGUGUCAGUGGGACUUCACUCCCGUCCCGUCUUGAUUUCCGUUCCCACUCCAGUCAGGUGUUUAAUGGUGAAAUUAGCUUCCACCCUCCUCCAAUCCCAGAGGAAUCCCAUGACCCACAACAUUCCUGACAAAAUGUCCACUACACAUGGCAGCUGCUGUUUGACCUCAUUACCCACAAUGCCCUGGUGGUAGAGUUCGAUCUAUCAGACGCUGUCUUGCUGGUGUUUAGGUGACUUUUACUCAGCUGUGCUUUAAUCUUAAAGUCACCUGAGACAUCUUGGUCAAGGUGCUCACUUUUGUGUUGUGUUGUUGUGUGUUUGUUUUUUACUUCAACACGUCGGCUGGCACACGCUGUCAUGUCUUCUGUUUUUACAGAGGUUCUAAAUUUCACAUCUCUAACAGCCUCCAUAGUGACAGAAAAAGUAUUUAUCUCUGUCCCUCUGUCAUGUGAGUGCAUCGAUACUGAGUGCUGAGGCAGCUGGUUUCAUGUGAGAUUAACUUCUAUAAGUAAAUUUACACUGCGACAAACACUCAGGGGCGAAUUCAUGAAAUGAUUGAGCAGCUUAGCGACUGUUAAACCUGCACAAACAGUCAGAAAGAAACCAACAAAUUCUCAUAGCAACAAAGGCUGAAUGACCUCGAACUGCUCCUGUGCUGUUUGCUAUGUGUGUGCAAAUGAGGUAAAACAUGUGGAGCGAAGUUCUAUGCAAAUGAGUCUUAUUACAAAAAACAGUCCAGUUCCCAAAGAUCCGCUCUAACAGCCACACACAGUCACAGUGGAAUUAUCAGCAUCUUCAGAGUUGGUGGGAACUGAAGCACAUUAUUAUCAAGUGUCAAACCUGCACUGACCCAAAUACUGUUUCUGUUUGUCACCUUUAAAUUUCUGUCUCAAGUUUUGUGGAACUUGUCAGUCAGGACCUGCAGCGUUUCUUCUUCUCUGUCAUCAUGUGUUCUUGGCAAAGAAGCAACAUUUAGAUUUUCCCACAUGAAUAUUUAGACACAAAAAGGGGCAAAUUAGACUCAUCUGCAAAACUCUGUGGGCGUUCACCGAUAAAUAUUAGUAUGAUGUCUUCUGUGAAUCAGACCUUGAGACAGGACAGAUAGUGGCUGCUAGUGAUGAACUGUUUGUGAUGCUCUCAGCAGCUGCAAAUCAUUCUUUGUAAAGUCACCCGUCUGUGGGAAUAAACCAAACCAAGAAAUAAAUGUAAAAUGUGAAUUUGUGCCAGUCAAGAAGUUACUAAUAUAACUUGAGUCGACAUGUGAGUGUAACAGAAUCAGUGAUGGUUUGUUUCACACAUUCAGGUGUGAUUAUAUUGAACAAUGAGUUGUUGACUGGUUUCUUGUUCACACUCUGUUCAUCUGAAUCCUGUUUGUUUGAGCUGUUGUCUCAUGAUGAAGGAGCUGGUCGACUCACCUCAACAUGGAAACAUCAGCAGACAGAUGUUAGGGCCUCAGCAUCGACUGAUCUUGUCAAACCUCAACAGCAGUGGCUGCAGUAGUCUUGAGCCUCCCUGUCUCGGCCAGAAAAGUAAAAGUCUAGUGGCAUCUAGUGUUUUUCCAGAGCUGUUUGUUGCAUAGGGGUUGCUAACUAUGGUGGCCGUUGCAUAAUUGUAAAAAAGCAAGUGUUCCUAUUAGGAGCCAGUGUUUGGUUUGUCUGCUCUGGGCUACUGUAGAAACAUGGUGGUGCAACAUGGUGAUCUCUGUAGACGAGGACCUGCUCCCUGUGUCGAUAUAAACAGCUCAUUCUAAGAUGACAAAAACGCAACAAAUCUUAUUCUAAAGAAAAGGCUGAUUAUAUUAUAUUUAAUUUCUGCCAGUGUAUCCUCCCUAAAUAUGACACACUGGACCUUUAACCAAAGGAACUGAACAAAGCCACUGUCAGGUAGUAACUGUUUUAUAAACGAGCAGUAACUGAGUGGAUGUUAAUGAACUGGACUGUUCCUGGACUUCAGUCUCCUCAUGAAGCUCUGACUCCUCCUGCAGGAGAGAAAUAUGUCAGUCAGUGAAGACGUGUGUGUUGAGUUAAGUAAGAGCUGAAACUGACCAGUGAGGUUGUGUUAUUCUUUUCACAGGGAUAAUCCUGGUUUCUGUGUUUUUGGAUCAGCUGUGUAAUUGGCUUUGGAGGGAUUGUGCAUUUGUUCUCAGGAGCUUUCACUGAGACUUUUCUGUUGUUUUAUAUUUUUGUCUGAGGAUUAAAAAGGCUUUUUGUGAUGAAAAAAUGUUUUGUAACAAUUACAUAAAAUCCUUAUUUUUUAACCUGCUCCAUUUCCCACCUGAUUAUAUCAUAACUGACGUUUCUUCCUGGAAAUAUUUUGAGUUUUAAAAUGCGAGGAAAAGACGUCAGACACUGUCGACAUCUGCUGUCAUGUCUCUGAUGAUGUGGUGAGACUAGCAGCAUCAGAGUCAGACAAUACAGUUUAUAAUGAUGCUGUAGCUUCAGAGCCAAAAAAUUAAGAGUAAACUAAAUAAUGUAAAGUAAAAUACACAAACGACUUUAUUUCAGCCUCUACGAUGUGAGGAUGUCCAGCUUUUUUUGUCUUCUGUGAUUGUAAUCUGAAUAAUUAUAGUGCACAUGUCGGCACUGAAAACAGAGUUUCUGAACAUGAGUGUUACAGAAUGUCUGUUUUCACUGUUCAGCAGUUUGCAUGUUGACAAAACGCCAAAAUACACAGGCAAAGCUAUAUUUUAAGAAAUACCAGUGUA